rnacentral:rRNA from 1 species
UACGGAGGGUGCGAGCGUUGUCCGGAAUCACUGGGCGUAAAGGGCGCGUAGGCGGCGCGGAAAGUCAACGGUGAAAGCUUGGGGCUCAACCCCGAGUCGGCCGUCGAUACUUCCGUGCUCGAGCACUGUAGAGGCAGGUGGAAUUCCGGGUGUAGCGGUGGAAUGCGUAGAGAUCCGGAAGAACACCGGUGGCGAAGGCGGCCUGCUGGGCUAUGGCUGACACUGAGGCGCGACAGCGUGGGGAGCAGACAGG